CUAAAACAAUCACAGUGUAUAUAUAAGCAUUACUGAUUAAUCAUGAACUUCGCACACCAAAUAUUGAAAUAAUAGAAAAUUCCAAAAUUUCACCCCCACCCCAAAACAUUAGACUAGUAAUAUAACCAGCGUGUAUACAGGAUCAUACAGUGAAUAUGAAAUUAAAUAUUUGUGAAUUACCCCUUCCCCUUAAAAGAUCCCUCCCCCUUUUUCCUUGACUUCUGAUGUCAAAUAUCUUGUUUUCAUUUCUUUCUUUUUUCUAUUCUUUUUAUCAAUUCAAAGAGAAAGACGUAUACAUCAGUACAUAAAUAAUGGUUGACAACUUGUAAUAUAAACAUUGGAUAGAUCUAUUUAAAUAACGAUUUAAAUUUUCGCGGCAUUGUAACAUUUCUAUUUUAAGACUAUUCAGAUUUAUAUGCGCAUGCGCAGUUGUUUUUGUUGCCAAAGUUUGAAUAUCCGCUAACGAGACCACAAGUGAUUUCUGCAGAGUUUUUAUCAAUAUCUUUCCUGUAUACAGCUUUUACAUUUUUAUCGUAAGUAUUUAUAUUAUUUGUUGUGAUUAAGUUAUCGUAUUUUAGAAAUGUGAGCAUAUCAUGUUGUUAUGAAACAGUACUGAAAAGUUGAAAUUUUACACGUAAAAAAGGGGGAUGUUUGGGACAAUCUAAGGAUUGACCUGAGGAUCAGCGUAGCAUGUUACCAUUCCCAAGAUAUCUUGCAACAUGUCAUGAAUUUUUAUCAUUGACUUUUUGAAAUCAUGUGAUUGAAUCAUAAGUAAAAAGAAAUUUUAAUCGCAUAAAAAGGGGGGCUUGUUUACAACUUUGGGAUGGAAAGGUCAGAAGCUAUAUGUAUAUAGUUAUGCGAUAAAAAUUUCUUUUAUUGUAUGAUCCCAGGAUAUUAAUUGCGAUCAAGUUAUGAUUUAGUAUUUAGGAUUUUCUUGCAGAUUAUACCAGUCUAUCUAAAAGGAAAUGUAGUUGAGACCUUAUGCUUUUGAUUUAUACUUUAAAGUAAUAUCAUUAUGAAGUUAUUAAUAGUUAAAUGUGUUGAACAGAAUUAAACUUUACAAUGUUACAACUUUUGAUUUUUUUAGAUGUCAUCAUGAAGACCUAAAUGGAAUCACGGAACAGCAAUUCAAGUGUCGGACAAAACAAUGAACUUUCUAAAACUGGCUCUAAAACGACAAGGUGUGAGAAAAAAGAAGUUGAAGUUUCA
rnacentral:lncRNA from 1 species